rnacentral:rRNA from 1 species
UUGNGGNNGAUNNNGNNGGAGGNNANNCCCUUUUAGGUGUUNAANUAAGANAUGGAAGUAAUAUGUUCAUCGUGAACAUGGCAUACUGCUCAGUAACACGUGGACAACCUGCCCUUGGGUCUGGGAUAACCCCGGGAAACUGGGGAUAAUACCGGAUAACGCAUAUGUGCUGGAAUGCUUUAUGCGUAAAAUGGAUUCGUCCGCCCAAGGAUGGGUCUGCGGCCUAUCAGGUAGUAGUGGGUGUAACGUACCUACUAGCCAACAACGGGUACGGGUUGUGAGAGCAAGAGCCCGGAGAUGGAUUCUGAGACAUGAAUCCAGGCCCUACGGGGCGCAGCAGGCGCGAAAACUUUACAAUGCGGGAAACCGUGAUAAGGGAACACCGAGUGCCAGCAUCAUAUGCUGGCUGUCCAGAUGUGUAAACUACAUCUGUUAGCAAGGGCCGGGCAAGACCGGUGCCAGCCGCCGCGGUAACACCGGCGGCCCGAGUGGUGACCGUUAUUAUUGGGUCUAAAGGGUCCGUAGCCGGUUUGGUCAGUCCUCCGGGAAAUCUGAUAGCUUAACUGUUAGGCUUUCGGGGGAUA